rnacentral:rRNA from 1 species
GAUGAACGCUGGCGGCGUGCCUAAUACAUGCCAGUCGAGCGAACGGACGAGAAGCUUGCUUCUCUGAUGUUAGCGGCGGACGGGUGAGUAACACGUGGAUAACCUACCUAUAAGACUGGGAUAACUUCGGGAAACCGGAGCUAAUACCGGAUAAUAUUUUGAACCGCAUGGUUCAAAAGUGAAAGACGGUCUUGCUGUCACUUAUAGAUGGAUCCGCGCUGCAUUAGCUAGUUGGUAAGGUAACGGCUUACCAAGGCAACGAUGCAUAGCCGACCUGAGAGGGUGAUCGGCCACACUGGAACUGAGACACGGUCCAGACUCCUACGGGAGGCAGCAGUAGGGAAUCUUCCGCAAUGGGCGAAAGCCUGACGGAGCAACGCCGCGUGAGUGAUGAAGGUCUUCGGAUCGUAAAACUCUGUUAUUAGGGAAGACCAUAUGUGUAAGUAACUGUGCACAUCUUGACGGUACCUAAUCAGAAAGCCACGGCUAACUACGUG